UACGUAGGGACCAAGCGUUGUUCGGAUUUACUGGGCGUAAAGGGCGCGUAGGCGGCUUAACAAGUCACUUGUGAAAUCUCCGGGCUUAACUCGGAACGGCCAAGUGAAACUGUCAAGCUAGAGUGCAGAAGGGGCAAUCGGAAUUCUUGGUGUAGCGGUGAAAUGCGUAGAUAUCAAGAGGAACACCAGUGGCGAAGGCGGCUUUCUGGACGAUUACUGACGCUGAGACGCGAAAGCGUGGGGAGCAAACAGG
rnacentral:rRNA from 1 species